rnacentral:rRNA from 1 species
AGGCAAUGAUGCGUAGCCGAGUUGAGAGACUGGCCGGCCACAUUGGGACUGAGACACUGCCCAAACUCCUACUGGAGGCUGCAGUAGGGAAUUUUCCGCAAUGCACGAAAGUGUGACGGAGCGACGCCGCGUGUGUGAUGAAGGCUUUCGGGUCGUAAAGCACUGUUGUAAGGGAAGAAUAACUGAAUUCAGAGAAAGUUUUCAGCUUGACGGUACCUUACCAGAAAGGGAUGGCUAAAUACGUGCCAGCAGCCGCGGUAAUACGUAUGUCCCGAGCGUUAUCCGGAUUUAUUGGGCGUAAAGCGAGCGCAGACGGUUUAUUAAGUCUGAUGUGAAAUCCCGAGGCCCAACCUCGGAACUGCAUUGGAAACUGAUUUACUUGAGUGCGAUAGAGGCAAGUGGAACUCCAUGUGUAGCGGUGAAAUGCGUAGAUAUGUGGAAGAACACCAGUGGCGAAAGCGGCUUGCUAGAUCGUAACUGACGUUGAGGCUCGAAAGUAUGGGUAGCAAACGGGAUUAGAUACCCCGGUAGUCCAUACCGUAAACGAUGGGUGCUAGUUGUUAAGAGGUUUCCGCCUCCUAGUGAC